CAGUCGCCGCGGUAAUACGUAGGGUGCAAGCGUUAAUCGGAAUUACUGGGCGUAAAGCGUGCGCAGGCGGUCCGCUAAGACAGAUGUGAAAUCCCCGGGCUUAACCUGGGAACUGCAUUUGUGACUGGCGGGCUAGAGUAUGGCAGAGGGGGGUAGAAUUCCACGUGUAGCAGCGAAAUGCGUAGGGAUGUGGAGGAAUACCGAUGGCGAAGGCAGCCCCCUGGGCCAAUACUGACGCUCAUGCACGAAAGCGUGGGGAGCAAACAGGAUUAGAUACCCCCGUAGUCCCUGUCUCUUAUAC
rnacentral:rRNA from 1 species